rnacentral:lncRNA from 1 species
GCCGAGUUAUUAUGGGAGGUAACGUAGCCAUGAGUCCAACCACUCCUUCCCCUUCCCAAUCAUUGCAGAUGUGUUUGGGGCGUCGGAUGGUUGCACGUGAGUCAACCCCGUGGAUUUCAUGCCGACACGGACAGCCACUAAAUCACAGUACCGAUCCAAGAAGGAGAGAUGGUAAGAUACCUCAAGCUGCAGCAUGUGGCUUGCUGGCUGUGACUUGUGAAGGAGAGCAAGUUGGAGAGACUGUUCAUUUCCUGUAUCAUUGUGGCGGCGCUAUCUUCCUUUCUC